rnacentral:rRNA from 1 species
UAGGGAAUCUUCCACAAUGGACGCAAGUCUGAUGGAGCAACGCCGCGUGAGUGAAGAAGGUUUUCGGAUCGUAAAGCUCUGUUGUUGGUGAAGAAGGAUAGAGGUAGUAACUGGCCUUUAUUUGACGGUAAUCAACCAGAAAGUCACGGCUAACUACGUGCCAGCAGCCGCGGUAAUACGUAGGUGGCAAGCGUUGUCCGGAUUUAUUGGGCGUAAAGCGAGCGCAGGCGGAAGAAUAAGUCUGAUGUGAAAGCCCUCGGCUUAACCGAGGAAUUGCAUCGGAAACUGUUUUCUUGAGUGCAGAAGAGGAGAGUAGAACUCCAUGUGUAGCGGUGGAAUGCGUAGAUAUAUGGAAGAAUACCAGUGGCGAAGGCGGCUCUCUGGUCUGCAACUGACGCUGAGGCUCGAAAGCAUGGGUAGCGAACAGGAUUAGAUACCCUGGUAGUCCAUGCCGUAAACGAUGAGUGCUAAGUGUUGGGAGGCUUCCGCCUCUCAGUGCUGCAGCUAACGCAUUAAGCACUCCGCCUGGGGGAGUACGACCGCAAGGUUGAAAC